CUGGAAACCGGGGCUAAUACCGGAUGAUUCUUUCCCUCACAUGAGGGAAAGCUGAAAGAUGGUUUCGGCUAUCACUUACAGAUGGGCCCGCGGCGCAUUAGCUAGUUGGGGAGGUAACGGCUCACCAAGGCGACGAUGCGUAGCCGACCUGAGAGGGUGAUCGGCCACACUGGGACUGAGACACGGCCCAGACUCCUACGGGAGGCAGCAGUAGGGAAUCUUCCGCAAUGGACGAAAGUCUGACGGAGCAACGCCGCGUGAGUGAUGAAGGUUUUCGGAUCGUAAAACUCUGUUGUUAGGGAAGAACAAGUACCGGAGUAACUGCCGGUACCUUGACGGUACCUAACCAGAAAGCCACGGCUAACUACGUGCCAGCAGCCCGCGGUAAUACGUAGGUGGCAAGCGUUGUCCGGAAUUAUUGGGCGUAAAGCGCGCGCAGGCGGUUCCUUAAGUCUGAUGUGAAAGCCCCCGGCUCAACCGGGGGAGGGUCAUUGGAAACUGGGGAACUUUGAGUGCAGAAAAGAAAAGUGGAAUUCCACGUGUAGCGGUGAAAUGCGUAGAGAUGUGGAGGCACACCACUGGCGAAUGCGACUCUUUGGUCUGUAACUGGACGCUGAGGCGCGAAAAGCGGUGG
rnacentral:rRNA from 1 species